AAAGAGCAGAAAAUCCCAGUACAUGAGGCCUGACACGGGCCGUGUCAGGGAAAGGAAAAACAGAAGAAGAAAACAGUAGCCUGACACGGCCACCCGUGUUAGCUGACACGAGCCGUGUCAGGCAGAACUUCACCCCGUGUUGGGCAUGCCAUGGCCGUGUCUGGAGAGCCAGUAGGCUGACACAUGCCGUGUCAGCCGAAGCCCAAUAUUUCCAAUUUUUCUGGGCUUUUCAUUCUUCGGGCUUUGUGGAGACAUCUUUGGACCUGUCCAACUGCUGCUGGGAACUUUCACUAUAAAAAGAGGUCUUCUACCAAAGGAAAAAUCAUCCUGGAGUACAGCAAACCACAAUAUUGUGAAGCAAUCAAGUAUUACAGAGAUCAAGGCAUUUAGAGAGCUGAAGAGAUUCAUGAGCGGGAGCGAUUGAAGAUCAAAGUCAUCCAAUUACU
rnacentral:lncRNA from 1 species